AACGAACGCUGGCGGCAUGCCUAACACAUGCAAGUCGAACGAGACCUUCGGGUCUAGUGGCGCACGGGUGCGUAACGCGUGGGAACCUGCCCUUAGGUUCGGAAUAACUCCCCGAAGGGGUGCUAAUACCGGAUAAUGUCUUCGGACCAAAGAUUUAUCGCCUUUGGAUGGGCCCGCGUUGGAUUAGCUAGUUGGUAGGGUAAAAGCCUACCAAGGCGACGAUCCAUAGCUGGUCUGAGAGGCUGAUCAGCCACACUGGGACUGAGACACGGCCCAGACUCCUACGGGAGGCAGCAGUGGGGAAUAUUGGACAAUGGGCGAAAGCCUGAUCCAGCAAUGCCGCGUGAGUGAUGAAGGCCUUAGGGUUGUAAAGCUCUUUUACCCGGGAUGAUAAUGACAGUACCGGGAGAAUAAGCUCCGGCUAACUCCGUG
rnacentral:rRNA from 1 species